CCUUCUAGGGCGCUGUCCUAGCUCUGUCUCUCAGCCUUUUUCUCCCCUUCCAGAUCUCUCGUCUCCCUUCCUGACCACUAGUUCUGAACCGUGUCCCGGAUUUUGGUCCGAAAUUUUGGUGCCCAUGAGCGUUCUCAUGGUUCUGGGAGCGGGUACUGUGUGAAAUCUUGGGGUAGAGGGGACGAUGGCUGGACAGGGAUCUGGGAUACCAGCACCCCGAACAAUAGCUUUAACUAUCCGAUCAGCUAGUUUUAUGAAACAUGUCGCGACCACCUGCUUGUUUGGAGCGCCCCUGCGGAGCAGGAACCGGAGAUGACCCUCCCGAGGCGGGAGCAGAGGACGAAUUCUUCCCUGCCUUGCCUGUCCCCAGCAGUCUCCCGGGCUCGGGGCCCCUCCACUGGAGGCUGCACACCCUCCGAGGCUGAGGGUUCCGAGUGCUCUGGGAUGCCACGUGGAGCCUGGCGUUGCCCCAUGGCUGCGGGCCCCGCUUCUUCGGAUCCCCGCCCCUCGUCUGCCACGACCGCAUCCCUUAACCCCUUGAAGGGACUGACACAGAAACUCAGUCCUCCCCCCACCCUCGGUGCAUUCCAGCCUUCCCUGCGUAACUCCUGGCACGCGCCGGUCUCGCCAGGCCAAUGGGUGGACCUGGCGCAACAGACGUCACAAGAGGAGCGGAGGCGAGGGGUGAAAGCGAAGCACUCCAAUCAGAGAGUCAUUGUUUCUAUUGGCACAAUGGGAGGCUCCGCCCCUCACGGAGGACUCGUCGCAUGGGCGAGGGGGCUCCAGGGGUUGUCGGCUAAACGUGAGAGAUAGUCCAGGAGGUACACUAUACGGACCGGCCUCCAAAGGCAGAAUUGAUAACGAGAUGCAGCGCCGGGUGCAGAGGACGCGGGCAUCCCGACACCCAGGAAGAGGUCAGGGCCGGGACCCUAGAACGCUCCACAGGGUGCGGCUCCCGCGAUGGGGUGGAUCCUGGUUCUAACAGGCGAGGAACUCCCGACCAAGGCCUCUGGCCCGCCCCGAACGGUACCUAUGACAUCACCAUCAACCAAUCAGUGGGCGCAUUCUCUCGCCCCUUGACUUCUCCGCUUCCGGGAGGCGGGGCUCCUGCGGAUCCCACCUCCCGAGCGCCCCUUAUGGCUACCAAGGACAGGCAGCAGGUCUCCAGUUAUGCCAUCUCCCGUCUACGGAUCUGAGGACCUCCGGAGGAUCAGAGCUCUGGGCCGGAUACACGGCCGGGGUUCCCACGGGUUUGUGGGUGGGGGUGGAGGAUCUGCAGAGGCGCUUAGGGCUGAACUCCUUUGAAUGGGAGCCAAUCGGUGCAGGGGCUGGAGAGGCGAGUCCCCCAGAGUGGUUUUAUGUAUUUAUUUAUUUAGAGACAAGGUCUUACUCUUUCGGAGUGCAGUGGUGAUCACAGCUUACCGUAGCCUCGAACUCCCCAGGUUCACGCGAUUCUACCCCCUCAGCCUCCCGAGUAGCUGGGACUACAGGUACGUGUCACCACACUUGGCUAAUUUUUGCAUUUUUUGCAGAGACGGGGUCUCACCAUGUAUUGAACUCCCGGUCUUGAACUCCUGGGCUCAAGCAAUCCGCCCGUCUUGGCCUCCCGAAGUGCUGGGAUUAUAGGUGUGAGCAACCGUGCCUGGCAACCCAGAAGUGGUUUUGACAGCACCAGCGCUUUCUGGGUCCACAAUCUACCAGGUGUACCUUUCCAGGGGAAGACCUGGCCAACCUGUCCAGCUCAAUUAUUCAGCAGUUCUUUGACCUCACUGAGAUCUCCAAUCCAUUGUACAUCAUCUCAGCUAUUGACCUGUGUCAUUAGCCUUAUAGAGUCCAGUGCCAUGGCAACUCCCUGCCCUGUUCUUCUUAGACAAACUUGCUGGGCUAAAAUCUAACCCCAGUUAAAAUAGACUAUGUAUUCUUUGUCUCUAGCGCAGCAGAACAUUGCUGGAGGAAAACAAACAACCAUGAUAAUUGGUCUCAUUUUAUAUUCAUGACCACAAGCCUCAGUAUUAUAUUGGAGGGCCUAUCCAGUGCAGUAGGGCAAGAAAAAUAAUAAAAAGUUAUGAAGAUUG